GCGCGCGUGGCCGAGUGUGUAUGUGUGCAUCUGCCAAUCAACGCUGACAGGCCGCCGCCCAUUGGCCGGGCCCCGCCCGCGUCACCGCCCACUGCCACCGCCCAUUGGGCUGUUUGAACACAAAGGCCCCAGUUCGCUCCGCCCGCCGCGUGGGCCCCGGGGGCCCGGCGAGCCUCGCCUGGAGUCCGCGCGUGGGAGGCGCGGGGGGCGGUGCCGAGCCCCGGGAGCACGCAGCUGGAUCCCGCAAGUUGGGGCUCGGCCGGGCCUGACUGCGCACUUGACUCCAGGUCUGGUGGCUCAAAACACCUGAUCCCGCUCCGAGCACCGCCUCGUGCGCCUCACCCCACCCGUGGCCUUCCGGCCGUGGCGUCCCCGCGCUCCGCAAACGGACUCCACACGCGGGAUGCCAGGGCUUUAAAGGCAUCGGGUGAUUGGGGAGACACAGCCUCUCUGAGGACGGCUCCCCACCAACCCCCCACCGAGUGGGGAGCAGGAAAAGUAGAAGACCCUUGGCCUAAGGCCCACCUGGAAGGGUAGCUAGUAGUUAGUCCUCAGCGGACUAGCCAACGAUUGUUGAAGGGAUGCUAAACGCCUGGCGCAUGCGUAAUUGUCCUUUUAGCCAGGCAUUUCCACACCCAUUUUAGAGGAUGAAAACGAAAACAUUUCCGUGGGCCCUGGGCGCCACGCCUGUUCUGCCUGAUGGGAAAGUUCGCCGUGUGCUGGGGAUGUUCGAGGAACAGCUCAGCCGGGGGGAGCCCGAACGGGCCCACUGGGGCGCUCCUGGGCCACAGAACACUCUCCAACUCUCACCCAGACCAGCCAGAGGAAGUGAGGCGUCAGGGUAGGAGUGAUAAAAAGUGAGGAUACAGGGGCUGCCGCCCUGGCUCCAGGCCAGGUGCCCCACUUGCUUGCUCUGUGAUCUGGGGGCGGCCACUUGGCCUCUCGGAGCCAUUUGCCUCACUCAUAAAAUGUGAAUAGUAGCGACCAUCCUGUGUAUGACCUUGGACGAGUCAGCAAGGCCCCCUGGCCUCUGUUUCCCCGUGUGUGAGGUCAAGUGAGGAGAGAAACUGCUCAAACAUCAAGGGCUUUUGCCAAUGGAGAUCUUUGGGAAGACGAGGGAGGAGGUCAGCCUCCUGGUCUGUCGUGGGCUCGUAGUCAAGUCAGGGAGCUUCUCUGUGCUUCCAGAGACCCGGGCGCCCACAUGGAGGUGGAAUGACCUGUGUACCCCUCUGCCUGCCCCACGUGCCAGGGACGGGUCCAUAGCGCUCAGUCGUGCGCACAAGUGACACACAAGUGACAGUAAAGCCUCCAGCCACCUCACUGCUGCCCAGGCCACCUCUACCUCUUCCUCUCUGCUGUCAGCACAGCUGGCGACAGGACUCCACAUUUAUGGGAUCUUUCAUCCCGAGAACUCAAAGAGCUCUGUCACUGGGUGGCAAGCACAGUUAAGCCUGUUUUAUGGACGGGAAAGGCCAGUCCGAGGAAGGAAAGGUACUGGGGCCAGGUUACUAAGUGGGCCAGCCGGGCGCCAGGGACCUGGAACAGAAGGACACUCCCAGCCAGGCUCUUAUGGGUGACUGUGCCUUAGUCGUCUCUGUCCCCCCACGCCUGUUACAGGGCCAGCCUCCUAAUAACCGCUCAGUAAACCUGCUUCCGCUAACUGCCUGACUCCCCAGCCUUCAGACACCCCACACCCCAGUGUGGCAGCCGCAGACCCCUGAGUGCCCCGCUUGCAGUCCCCAGAGCUGAGCCCUCCUCGGCCUCACCCAGGGCCCCUCCCGCUUGCACACCUUUGCCCAGGCCGCGCACUGGCCUAGAAUGCCCUUUCCCCAUUUCUCGGCCUGAUGAAUCUCUACGAAGCUUUCAAGGAUGGGCUCAAAUGUCACUUGUCCCGUGGAGGCUUGCUUCCUUGCCUGCAAACUCCCCAGGCGGGAGGAAAGGCUCCCGUACCAUGUUCCGGCAUCCCUCAUCCCCUUGUCCAGGCGCUUCUCACAUUGUGUUCUGGAACGGGAGCAUCAGUCACCCACAGCGCCCAGGGAUAGCGUGAGCUCUAGACAGGCCAGUGCCUGACACUCGGUGGAAGCUUUGACGAUCACUCCUCGCCCCCUGCAAGGCGUCUGGCCGAAUGGCUUGCCCGGCCUGUGCGGUCAGGAGGCCAGUCAGAGGCAGCACUGGGGCCUCUGAGGGCACUGGCCCCUGGGCCACUGCUCAUGGGCUCAUGUAGAAGAACUUGCCUGAUAUCCCCGUGAGGUUGUCUCUCCUGCAAAUGACUCCCAGCCCCUUGACAUCCCCACCACCUGCUCCCCCUCCUGUGGGGACAUUGCUGGGCCCAUUAAUCAGCCCUUCUCAGCCUCAGUGUCCUCAUCCGUACAGUGGGGAUGGCGUUGACGUGUCUACUUCAUACAAGCUUAGCCCAGUGCUUGGCACAGAGUGAAGUGCUCGAUCAAGGUCGACUGCUUUCUAAUUUACGAAGCAUUUGUUCAGCCGAUGCCUACUGCAUGCCUGCUUUGCCAGUGACCCAGAGCCGGUCCCGCUGGAGAGGGAGGUGAGUAAGCAGAUCAUCACCACACAGUGAGGCCCCGGGAGGGACACAGGCCUCUAAGGGCCCCUCUGACCAGGGCCUCGGUAUCACUUCCAUGGGCCCUUCCUCCGUAAAAAUAUUAAAAAUUCUCCUCUGCAGCUGUGUUGGUAUAAAGGGCAACAUAAUGCAGGCUACGCUGUAUCCAUUUCCCCCCCUUCUGAUGGAAAACAUGUCCUCGGGCCUUAAAAGUGCUGUGGGCCCUGGUACUGUGCCUGCUGUGCGUAAGGGUCUGGCUGCGACUGUCCUCACCCAGAUCUGGGGAGUCAGAGAAGCUGCCAUUCUGCCCUGCCCUCCAGGGGCCUGUGGUGAGGAUGUGAGCUGCACCGGACGACAGGGGCAGCGGUCCUCACAGCAUUGCUAUUGUUGGUGUGGCCAGCAGGCCUGUCCCACGCAGGGACAGA